rnacentral:rRNA from 1 species
UACAGAGGGUGCAAGCGUUGCUCGGAUUUACUGGGCGUAAAGCGUACGCAGACGGCACGUCAGGUCGGGUGUGAAAGCCCCGGGCUCAACCCGGGAACUGCAUCCGAAACCGGCGAGCUAGAGUAUGAGAGAGGAAAGCGGAAUUCCUGGUGUAGAGGUGAAAUUCGUAGAUAUCAGGAGGAACACCGGCGGCGAAGGCGGCUUUCUGGCUCAUUACUGACGUUCAGGUACGAAAGCGUGGGUAGCAAACAGG